rnacentral:rRNA from 1 species
CAGCCUGAUCAGCCAUGCCGCGUGAGUGAUGAAGGCCCUAGGGUUGUAAAGCUCUUUCACCGGUGACGAUAAUGACGGUAACCGGAGAAGAAGCCCCGGCUAACUUCGUGCCAGCAGCCGCGGUAAU